rnacentral:piRNA from 1 species
UCUUGAUUCGUUAGUUUUUUU